AGACACAUUACAAGGGCCGAUGCAGGCUGCCUACCGGGAAGCCUUCCAGAGUGUGGUGCUGCCGGCCUUUGAGAAGAGCUGCCAGGCCAUGUUCCAGCAAAUCAAUGAUAGCUUCCGGCUGGGGACACAGGAAUGUGAGUGGGGUCAUAUGGCCCAAGGUGGGAGGGGUUAUCCUCUUUCCUACUGUUCCUCUUAUAGUCCCUGUGGUCACCCCUCAGACUUGCAGCAGCUAGAAAGCCACAUGAAGAGCCGGAAGGCACGGGAACAGGAGGCCAGGGAGCCUGUGCUAGCCCAGCUGCGGGGCCUGGUCAGCACACUGCAGAGUGCCACUGAGCAGAUGGCAGCCACCGUGGCCGGCAGUGUUCGUGCUGAGGUGCAGCACCAGCUGCAUGUGGCUGUGGGCAGGUGUGUGGGCAGAGUACUGGGCAAGGUGGUGGGCUUGAGAAAGGCCAGACUAGGCUCCCUGUCCACUUCACCUCACUCACUUCCCUUUGCAGCCUGCAGGAGUCCAUUUUAGCACAGGUACAGCGCAUCGUUAAGGGUGAGGUGAGUGUGGCGCUCAAGGAGCAGCAGGCCGCCGUCACCUCCAGCAUCAUGCAGGCCAUGCGCUCAGCUGCUGGCACACCUGUCCCCUCUGCCCACCUUGACUGCCAGGCCCAGCAAGCCCAUAUCCUGCAGCUGCUGCAGCAGGGCCACCUCAAUCAGGCCUUCCAGCAGGUACGAUAGGCAUUAGGCCCUGCUAAGGGUCACGUGUCUCUUGACAAGGCCCACAUACCAUACAUUCUACUCCACCCACCACCUUUGCACCUUCUGGCCCCAGCAGACUGUUCUUGGUUCCCUUUGGCCUCCAGGCCAUUGUCCCUGCUGCUUCCUCUUCCUGGACCCCUUUCUUCCCACCUAGCCCACCUUGCUUUACAACUACCCUUCUCAGGAACCCAUUUCCCAAUCCCCUAGGGUAACUACACAGCCCUACAGGCUCUCUCUGAGUCCCUCUGGAGCUCUCACUAGCCCACCCUGUGGUCAUCCUCCCCCAGGCCACACAGUUCAGACAAGCAGACAUUCCAUCCUGAUAUUUGCUAUAAACACUGCUGCUUUUUUCUCCUCCAGGCGCUGACAGCUGCUGACCUGAACCUGGUGCUGUAUGUGUGUGAAACUGUGGACCCAGCCCAGGUUUUUGGGCAGCCACCCUGCCCGCUCUCCCAGCCUGUGCUCCUUUCCCUCAUCCAGCAGCUGGCAUCUGACCUUGGCACUCGAACUGACCUCAAGCUCAGGUAAGUGGGGACAGCCAGGGAUGGGGAGAUGAGCUGGGGAGUGGGGCAGUGGGAGGGAGCAGUUUGAAGCUGACGCCCACUUCUGCCUGAAUCCUCUCCCUAAUUUUCUCCACCAGUCCUUUCUGCCUUCACCCAGAGGGUUCCCUCUGGGCCUCGGUGCCACCAGGGGGCGCUCCCGUCUGCUGGCACCCACCUGUAGCCUGUCCUUUCCCCCCCAUCCCCAGCUACCUGGAAGAGGCCGUGAUGCACCUGGACCACAGUGACCCCAUCACUCGGGACCACAUGGGCUCCGUUAUGGCCCAGGUGCGCCAAAAGCUUUUUCAGUUCCUGCAGGCUGAGCCACACAACUCACUUGGCAAAGCAGCUCGGCGUCUCAGCCUCAUGCUGCAUGGCCUCGUGACCCCCAGCCUCCCUUAGCUGCUAAGCCUGCCUUGCCCAGGGGUGGGAUGGCACUGAAGGCCAGCAGACAGGCCUAGGCUGGGGCAGGGUCACGGCUGGCCUUUACCUGCUCAGGCCCCCAUCUCUGGGGUGUUUGGGGGUCAGGGAGCAGGGAGCACUGGCCGUGGUCUACAGCGUGUGGUAGUCAGAAGGUUUAGCUGGGCCCAGGGCAGGUAUUGCGCCUGCUUGGGUUCUGCCAUGCCUGGAGCAUGACCCUGAGAUCGUGACACCACUUGAGUGGAAUUUUCCAUGUUCCUUUUUACCUCUAAUUUGGAUCUUUUUGUUUUUGAAAAACAUUGAGAAAUUCAAUUAAAUGCUUUUGGAAUAAAAUGGAGUAUGUGUGUGCUUUUGGUUUGUCUUUGGUGUGACUCUCAUAACUGCCGUCUGUUCGUUCUCUGCCCAUCUCUUGCCCGUGGAGCUCUGUCGAGGCCAACCCAGCCAAGGGGCCGGGUUACCCACUCAUCUGCUCCAACUGCCUUCCCAGAUCUCCCUUCUCCCUCCUUCUAUGGAGUGAGGGUCCAGGGGCCUGCCCAGCACCAGCCUGUGCUCCUGCGAAUUUCUGCUCUCUGAGGUCUCCUCGCUCCUUUUCCCAUCUGGGUGUUGGAGGCGGAGCCGCCGGCUGGGUUCGGAGCCCCACCCCCAGCUCCCAUCCAAUCACCGUCCCUCCCUCCGGGGGCUGGGCGGACGGGCUGCACUCCAAGCAGCUAGCUCCUGCACUAGGCUCUCAGCCAGGGAUGAUGCGCUGCUGCCGCCGCCGCUGCUGCUGCCGGCAACCACCCCAUGCCCUGAGGCCGUUGCUGUUGCUGCCCCUCGGUGAGUGCGGGCAUCCGGGGCCCGGGCCACACCCCCUUCUCGCCCAGCCAAGCCAGGCUGGGCAUAGGGUGUGUGGGAACGCUGGGUGCCAGGGUGGAGAAGAGUUGUAAGGGCUCCAGGAAGGUGUGCUGGUGACUUCAGGACAGAAAGUGAGAGGCACAAACAGCCCCAGUUAUGGGAGAAGGACUCCAAAAUUUGCAUCCCCUCUUAUGAUAAAGGGAGACAUGCCAAUGGCAGGACUUAUAGACCAGUCGUAGGAUCCCUAAGUCCUCUCUGAGGGUCUGGCCUGGAUCCCAAUACCUCUGCAUCCUGCCUUGUCUCUCCAAAAAUAUUUAUCUUUAGAGAGAGUUCGGAGGGCCAAGCAAAGCUUGUCUAAACCGCAGAGAGAUGCACCUGCUCCUGGUCCGGGGCCUCUGGACCUCCCUCCCCUCCACCCUGUCCUGACUCCUUUACAUGGACCCUUGUCACCCCACCUGCGGCCCCAGAAGCUCAAAGGAAGAGCUGACCUGGGGUACACAACACCCCCUUCCCCUGUACAAAUCCCAGUCUGGGUCCUACCUUGAAGGGGGCCUGGGUAGGUAAUCCCCAGACUUGCCCUUUAGUUCCCUGGGGCACCCUUUUUCCGCUGAGUCACAUCCCCAGAGUGCUCCCAGGUAAACAAGCCCCUGGGGGCUGGGGGAUGAGCCUGGCUCAUCCUAUCUACCAUUCCUUCCCCACCCCACCCCCGCCCCACUUCUAGUCCUUUUACCUCCCCUGGCAGCAGCUGCAGCGGGCCCAAACCGAUGUGACACCAUAUACCAGGGCUUCGCCGAGUGUCUCAUCCGCUUGGGGGACAGCAUGGGCCGCGGAGGCGAGCUGGAGACCAUCUGCAGGUACCGGCGGGUGUGAGGCAGUGGCCCAACCUGUGCCACCAUUGGGGACUGAACCUUUUAUUUCCCAAGCUAAAGUCUCCUUGCCUCACCUAAUCCCCCUAAUCCCACUCCCUUAACAGGUCUUGGAAUGACUUCCAUGCCUGUGCCUCUCAGGUCCUGUCAGGCUGUCCGGAGGAGGCAGCUGCAGUGUGGGAAUCACUACAGCAAGAAGCUCGCCAGGCCCCCCGUCCGAAUAACUUGCACACUCUGUGCGGUGCCCCGGUGCAUGUUCGGGAGCGCGGCACAGGCUCCGAAACCAACCAGGAGACGCUGCGGGCUACAGCGCCUGCACUCCCCAUGGCCCCUGCGCCCCCACUGCUGGCGGCUGCUCUGGCUCUGGCCUACCUCCUGAGGCCUCUGGCCUAGCUUGUUGGGUUGGGUAGCAGCGCCCGUACCUCCAGCCCUGCUCUGGCGGUGGUUGUCCAGGCUCUGCAGAGCGCAGCAGGGCUUUUCAUUAAAGGUAUUUAUAUUUGU
ensembl:lncRNA novel transcript